rnacentral:rRNA from 1 species
GACAGAGGGUGCAAACGUUGUUCGGAAUUACUGGGCGUAAAGCGUGCGCAGGCGGUUUUGUAAGUCUGUCGUGAAAUCCCCGGGCUCAACCUGGGAAUUGCGAUGGAGACUGCAAGGCUAGAAUCUGGCAGAGGGGGGUAGAAUUCCACGUGUAGCAGUGAAAUGCGUAGAGAUGUGGAGGAACACCGAUGGCGAAGGCAGCCCC